UACGUAGGGGGCAAGCGUUGUCCGGAAUCAUUGGGCGUAAAGAGCGUGUAGGCGGCCCGGUAAGUCCGCUGUGAAAGUCCAGGGCUCAACCCUGGGAUGCCGGUGGAUACUGUCGGGCUCGAGUCCGGAAGAGGAGUGUGGAAUUCCUGGUGUAGCGGUGAAAUGCGCAGAUAUCAGGAGGAACACCAAUGGCGAAGGCGACUUCCUGGCCUGUUCUUGACGCUGAGGCGCGAAAGCUAGGGGAGCAAACGGG
rnacentral:rRNA from 1 species